UUGAGAAUGAAAAAGUAGGCGUUCUGCAAUUGUUCUUGCCCAAAAUGUAUACACUCAUGAGUUGUCACCGGCACAUAAUCAAGAAAACUGGUCUGUUCUCCCUCUCCUUUCAAUCCCACCACUAUUCUCACAGCUCUCCACAGAUUGAAGCCGCAGCUGCGGAAAUCUGCAAGAUAUUGAAGCAUAACAACUGGCAAUUUCUGUUGGAAUCGUCGCAUUUUCCACGAGACUUGAAUCCAGACGUGGUCCAUUCGGUGCUGCAAAGAAGCCAUUUUUCGCUUCAUCCGCGGCGCCUUCUCGAUUUCUUCGAUUGGUCGAGUCACCAUCUGGGUACUCAUUUCGUUUUCUUUGGAGGUGAUAGCUAUCUACCACGUCUGGACUUGAAGACGAAGGAGUAUAUUUUCUAGGAGCAACAUGGAGAAAGGGCUUACAUUGGAGCUUAUGAGAGAGUACACCUACAAUUGGAGAUACACCCGCCCUCCCACCCGAAUGCACUAUGGACGUCACGCCAAGUUUGGGGGAGUUCUCUUUCCCUUUACUUUUAAUGUUCUUCUUUGCAUGCAUUGGGGACAAUGAUGCAUUCAAGUUUGGGGGGGUUGAUUUAUGCAUGAUGCAUGUUUGUUGGGUGUAUUUUAUGCUAAAUGUGUUUUGAAUCAUGUAUUUGACGGGUGCAUGUUAGAUCUUCGGCUUUCUGGUUGGGAAAUCUUGCUUGAUUUUAUUUGAACUUUGAAGCUUAGGAUGAAUGGAAUGGGUGCAUGAAUUUAUUUGAAAGAGCAUGUCAUGAUUACUUCCGAUUUCUCGAGUUGAGGAGAGUAUGAAAAUCGCAUGUCUUGUGGAAAUUAUUUUGGAUUGAUUUGCUUUAUCGAGUGAAGUGCUUGCGUUCGUUUGUGUUAACGAUAUGGGAGGACAAGGCACUAGGAUGAACUCCAUGGCCAAAUGAUCACAUGCCUAGUCCAUCAAAUGAUCCCCUAGAAGCCACCUUGAGCUUAAUUUCUUAUUCUUUGUGUAAACACUUAGCCAAACACUUAGCCACUGAAAUAAGCCUAAUUUUAGCCUCAUCGAAAGACCUUGCUACUAUUUGGGUGCUAAAUACUAGUUUGAGCUUGGUGGUUGAAUGUUGAGUGUUGGGUGGUGUAUUGCAAAAGUGUAGACAUUUCUAGACUUGAUAGAAGGUGAAAAGAAUGAAGUUCUAAGAGAAAAAAAAAAAACAAGAAAAAGAAAAAGACGACCUUCAAAUUCACAAAA